GACCUGGUGGUGAAAUGCAUCAUGCCUGCAACCUAUAUUCUGUGUUCUGACCGAGUGGUUACAAGCAGGAGUCCCUGGUUCGAUUCCGGGCUGGGUCA